CCUGCCUCAUACUGGGGAAUAAUAGUUGGAAACGACUGCUAAUACCCCAUGACAUAAGAAAGUCGCACGGCUAACUUAUGAAAAAUUUAUUGGUAUGAGAUGGGCCCGCGUCUGAUUAGCUAGUUGGUGAGGUAACGGCCCACCAAGGCGACGAUCAGUAGCCGGCCUGAGAGGGUGAACGGCCACAUUGGGACUGAGACACGGCCCAAACUCCUACGGGAGGCAGCAGUGGGGAAUAUUGCACAAUGGGGGAAACCCUGAUGCAGCAACGCCGCGUGAGUGAAGAAGUAUUUCGGUAUGUAAAGCUCUAUCAGCAGGGAAGAAAAUGACGGUACCUGACUAAGAAGCCCCGGCUAACUACGUGCCAGCAGCCGCGGUAAUACGUAGGGGGCAAGCGUUAUCCGGAUUUACUGGGUGUAAAGGGAGCGUAGACGGUGGUGCAAGUCUGAAGUGAAAGCCCGGGGCUCAACCCCGGGACUGCUUUGGAAACUGUACGACUAAAGUGCAGGAGAGGUAAGUGGAAUUCCUAGUGUAGCGGUGAAAUGCGUAGAUAUUAGGAGGAACACCAGUGGCGAAGGCGGCUUACUG
rnacentral:rRNA from 1 species